UACGUAGGCAGCGAGCGUUGUUCGGAGUUACUGGGCGUAAAGGGUGUGUAGGCGGUUGUCUAAGUUUGGUGUGAAAUCUCCCGGCUCAACUGGGAGGGUGCGCCGAAUACUGAAUGACUAGAGUGCGGGAGAGGAAAGUGGAAUUCCUGGUGUAGCGGUGAAAUGCGUAGAUAUCAGGAGGAACACCGGUGGUGUAGACGGCUUUCUGGACCGUAACUGGACGCUGAGACACGAAAGCGUGGGUAGCAAACAGG
rnacentral:rRNA from 1 species